GGGAUUGCCUUAGUAACGGCGAGUGAAGCGGCAAAAGCUCAAAUUUGAAAUCUGGUACCUUCGGUGCCCGAGUUGUAAUUUGGAGAGGGCAACUUUGGGGCCGUUCCUUGUCUAUGUUCCUUGGAACAGGACGUCAUAGAGGGUGAGAAUCCCGUGUGGCGAGGAGUGCGGUUCUUUGUAAAGUGCCUUCGAAGAGUCGAGUUGUUUGGGAAUGCAGCUCUAAGUGGGUGGUAAAUUCCAUCUAAAGCUAAAUAUUGGCGAGAGACCGAUAGCGAACAAGUACAGUGAUGGAAAGAUGAAAAGAACUUUGAAAAGAGAGUGAAAAAGUACGUGAAAUUGUUGAAAGGGAAGGGCAUUUGAUCAGACAUGGUGUUUUGUGCCCUCUGCUCCUUGUGGGUAGGGGAAUCUCGCAUUUCACUGGGCCAGCAUCAGUUUUGGUGGCAGGAUAAAUCCAUAGGAAUGUAGCUUGCCUCGGUAAGUAUUAUAGCCUGUGGGAAUACUGCCAGCUGGGACUGAGGACUGCGACGUAAGUCAAGGAUGCUGGCAUAAUGGUUAUAUGCCGCCCGUCUUGAAACACGGACCUCCUGUGUG
rnacentral:rRNA from 1 species